CCCCUCCCAGUGUCGCACCUGGAGAGUUUCCAGGACUCUACCAGUCAUGAUUACAGGAGGGAGAGUCAAUCAGAGGUAUAUCCAUUCCAUUCCUAGCUUGGACAGUGGCUUAUGAGUGGAAGGCAACCUGCUACAAGU